rnacentral:lncRNA from 1 species
GUCCAUUUUAAAUUGAUUCUGCACUGUUCUGACUGGUGGCUGGUACAAUAAGUCUAGGCUCGACCUUGUUUCUAUAGUCCCAACUCAUGAACGAUCAGCGAAGGGGAGAUAAAAAUUCUCUCACAAGCUUUAUUUUUUCCGAACAGNAGGGACACCUACAGUUAGAGCGCUCACACUAUUUCUAACUUUUUCGAGUUCCCUGCUAAAUUCUGCACUCAGUCGUCGU